rnacentral:rRNA from 1 species
UACGUAGGCAGCGAGCGUUGUUCGGAGUUACUGGGCGUAAAGCGUGCGUAGGCGGUGUCUUAAGUUUGUUGUGAAAUCUCCCGGCUUAACCGGGAGGGUGCGGCGAAUACUGAGAUGCUGGAGUGCCGGAGAGGUAAGCGGAAUUCCUGGUGUAGCGGUGAAAUGCGCAGAUAUCAGGAAGAACACCCGUGGCGAAGGCGGUUCUCUGGAACGCAACUGACGCUGAGACGCGAAAGCGUGGGGAGCAAACAGG